ACGAGGCCGAGGGAGGAAUUCUGUCGUCUGGGAACGGCUGGUUUCGCGGUCAGACGCCGAGGGCCCUCGAAGUCCCUAGCAACGGCUGCGGAGGGAGAUUCCACCUAGGUCCGUGCAGGUUACAAAUGGCAACCAGAACAGGGACUCCAAGCACGCCCAACUAGCAGCAUCCAAACAUGGGACUUCAAGGACGUGAAUGAAGAAGGUCUGCUGGAGCAGAGGAACUGAAAUUGACAAGGCGAAAGGGGACCCUGGGAAGAGUCUGCCGGCAGCAGAUAUAAGUCUGUAAAAUCGGAUGGACCACCAAUUGGAGAAUGAGAGCCUCCCAGCCCAGCCUUACAUUCUUUCAAUUAAUACAUAAACAGAAAGGGGGAUAUGCAGGGAGCCAAAGGCCUGUGGGACGUGACCAACUCAGCAUUCUGCUGGAGGCUAUAUGAUCAAACAGCAAACUGUUUAUCAUGAAUACAGGAUGUGAGCAAACUCAGGACUGCUCCUGCCAACAUAAGGUUUGCUGGAGGCAAUCACUCCCUGGCACCGAGGUUAUCUACUGCGACAUCUAGAGAAUGCAGUCUUGCAAGCCUACUCUGAACUGAGCAGCCGACCCCUUCUUCCACCCCCCCACCCUCCUAUCUCUUUUGCCUAAUAAAUACGGAGGGCUGUGUAAAGCUCAGGGCCCUUGUCCACUAGAGGUAAGGUGCUCCCUGACCCCUUCUCCCAAAUAUACUCUUUUGUCUCCUGUCUUUAUUCCCACGUUCACCCCCAUUUGUGCAGUCCCAUGGGUCCAUGUGGGUUACGGCCCGCCACCGCGCCUGGCUGAUUUUUGUAUUUUUAGUAGAGAUCGGAUUUCAGCAUCUUGGUCAGGCUGGCCUUCAACUC
rnacentral:lncRNA from 1 species